CUCUCUCUCUCUCUCAUCCCCUCCCCUUCUCUCUCACUCAGGCAUACAUACACUUUCAUGCAGAGACGGGAGGACAAUUUUUUUUCCUCGCCCAGGUCGUUUUAAACCGUUCUAGAGAAGCGUUUAUCAUGCUAAUGUCUCUUGGUUUACUGCUAUUUCAACAGCCUAACAAAAUUUGAAGCCUGUCAUUUUAAUUAAGUCGUCACUUGACUGCGUAUAUAUAUAUAUAUUUUCCAAUACAUGCUCUCAGGAGGAUAUAUAGUCGCAUCCAGUUUGAACAACUGAAGGAAGCUCUUCAUACGGAAGACUGGAUUUGUGUUUCGAGGCUUUAGUCGCCUGAGGCGCUUUCGUCUGUUUUAUUAAGCACCUGCCAGCAAAAUGUCUGCCCCAGAUGCCAAUGCAAGCCCUGGAGCCCCAGAGGGUGAAGGGGGCCCUCCCGCCCCACCCAACCUCACCAGCAACC